UACGAAGGGGCUAGCGUUGCUCGGAAUCACUGGGCGUAAAGGGUGCGUAGGCGGGUCUUUAAGUCAGGGUGAAAUCCUGGAGCUCAACUCCAGAACUGCCUUUGAUACUGAAGAUCUUGAGUUCGGGAGAGGUGAGUGGAACUGCGAGUGUAGAGGUGAAAUUCGUAGAUAUUCGCAAGAACACCAGUGGCGAAGGCGGCUCACUGGCCCGAUACUGACGCUGAGGCACGAAAGCGUGGGAGCAACAGGAUUAAGAUGACCUUGUAGUACCCUAGGAAGCCAACCGAUCUC
rnacentral:rRNA from 1 species